GUGUUGCAUAGUUAAGAUUAAAGUAGGUCAUGAACUUGAGCAUAAGAAUUUUAAAUAUUUGAAACAUUCAGGAACCAGGAGUCAGUGUAAAGGGUGAUGGAUGAUUCAGGCUACGUGUGGACAUGAUAGGGGCACAGGUAAACUAAAAGCUAUAGAGAAUCGAACAUAAAAUGAGCAUUGGAGCAGUCAUACUCAGAGGUGAUCAAGGCACUGGGGAGAUUCCAGCAACUGAUGAUAUGAAGGUAUUGCUGAUUUACUCUGUGAAACGAAGAGUGGUGCAUCAUCCCCUAUUUUCUACCCUGAGAGUUCUAAUAUCUGGAAUAACUAGAUCUGGUUAACAGAGAUAAGCAAGCACAGACAAGGCAUCAAAAAUACAGCUGUAUAAAGUAUCUGCAGUUCAAGUACAUAAAGCCUGAAAUUACUCCACAGGAUCCUAAUUGACGCGUAAUUAAUACAAUUCUCAGAAAUUGCUCUCUUCAACAUGUCGGCAAAGGACCCUGCCAGACAUUGAGUAAUUAAAGCACUGCAGGUCUACCCUGUCAGUGCAAUGUUUGUUGCUGAAGAAACUGAAGGAGUGGGACUUGGUGCGGAUCGUGCUGCUACCUGCGUCAGGGAGGUGUCACAGAAGUUGUUGCACGAAGGAGUCCCAAUGACUCCCCCCGAGAUUCUACCACUAAUCUACACACCAGUGACAACUUAACAGUUGCUGUUUAACCUACUGACUUGAAUGUUUCUGGGAUGCAGGAAGAAACUGGACCACUCAGGAGAAACCUGUUCAGUCAUUGGUGAUCAUGUACACUUGACAUGGACCAUACUCAGGUCUACGGUCGUCUGAAGCAGCAGCAGCUCCACUAGCUGUCCACAUGGUGUUGGACUCUGCUGUCAUUUAUUAUUGAGAUCAGAUACCUGAACCUGACAAGGUUCACCUCAUGCCUGUUGUGAAAGUAUUUUGAAAACUGAAAUGAAAAUGAAUGACUCACAUUUUUCUUAGAAUUUGUCUGAAAAGUGAAUGGUCUUUUAUUUUUACAGAAGAUUAUUUCAUUUUAGCAGGUUAAUUUAUCUAAAAUAAAGAUGUAAAGUAAUUAUACACAAAAUUAGUUUCCAUUGCUGAUGAUUCACAUUUGACAAAGGAGAGGUGGGAUGAAAGAUGCUUGAGUUAUUAUGUAUUUCACCUAAUAACAGCUUGAUAAACAAGUGGAAAUUUAAAAUCAUAAGUGCAAUGCAAAUAAAUGGAAUUAUAUAUCAACCAUAACAAGGACAGGAAGCUUCUUAAAGUGUUGGCUCAUAGAGAUUCAAUGGGCAUGGAGUUUUCUUUGUACAUAAGCACAUAUGAUACUUGCAUUAAGUUUCAGUGUACUGGUGAAUCAGACACAGGUGUAUAAUGGGUUAAUUGGUAAAAUGGUAAUUAUAUUGAACUUUGAACAUCUGCACUUUGUUUUUGAGGAAACAAAUAUUAAUGCUUGCUCAUUUUUGAUAAUAUGACGAUGAUAUUACGGGGUACCCUUUGAGUAUGAUAUUUUGAUCUCUGGUGAACAACAAUUAACAUCUGAAAUUACAUAUUGCAAAAGUCGGAUUUUACAUCAGGUCAGAGAAAGGUUUGCCAGGCUGAUUUUUAAGAACAUUUUCCUCAAAUAUUAUAGUGCUGAAGUAUUCCCACCAAAAUUAUUGUUCAAUCUCUUCACUAGCCAUCUUUUGAAAGGGGAAAAAUCUAUAUUCAUGUUCUAGUCAGGUCCACAGAUACCCUCCACUAUGGAUACACAUUGACUCUGAGUUAAUCUCCAACAGAAAGAAACAAAGGGAUGAAUUUUAAAUUCCAAUUGGGUGAUGGGAGAAGGUGGGGACGAAGAGGGGAUGGAACUUGUGCUGGUGAUUUUGGAAACCUGGAGCUAAGUACAUUUCAUCUGUGGUAUUGGAAUCCAGUUACUGCAUUUCCUAUAAGGAAUUGGCAGAAGUCAUUAAUUGGAAAACAAAAUAAAAAUAGAUUUUGGAAGUCCAAGAUGAAAGCAGAAAAUGACGGAAAACUCACCAGGCCAGACUACAUCUGUGGAAAGAAAACAAAACGGUUUAUUUUUCAGGUCAAAGCACUUCAUCAGAUAUUAGUAAUGAGGCAUGAAAUUUUGAAUUGAUUUCUUUAAAUUAUAUUGUAGUGUUGUGGUUCAGAGGACUAGAUAACAAGCAGAUUUUUUGUGUAGCUAAAUCUAUAAAUAGAUUGA